GACGAACGCUGGCGGCGUGCUUAACACAUGCAAGUCGAACGGAAAGGCCCUGCUUUUGUGGGGUGCUCGAGUGGCGAACGGGUGAGUAACACGUGAGUAACCUGUCCUUGUCUUUGGGAUAACUUUAGGAAACUGGGGCUAUUACCGGAUAGGAGCUUCUGAUGCAUGGUGGGGGUUGGAAAGUUUCGGUGGUUGGGGAUGGUCUCGCGGGUUAUCAGCUUGUUGGUGGGGUAGUGGAUUACCAAGGCUUUGACGGAUAGCCCGCCUGGGAGGGGGGCCGGCCACAUUGGGACUGAGAGACGGCCCAGUCGCCUACGUGAGGCAGCGGGCGAGAAUAUUGCACAAUGGGCGGAAGCCUGAUGCAGCAACGCCGCGUGCGGGAUGACGGCCUUCGAGUUGUAAACCGCUUUCUCCUGUGACGAAGCGUGAGUGACGGUAAUUGGUAAAGAAGCACCGGCUAACUACGUG
rnacentral:rRNA from 1 species